GAUGAACGCUGGCGGCGUGCCUAAUACAUGCAGGUCGAGCGAACAGAUGAGAAGCUUGCUUCUCUGAUGUUAGCGGCGGACGGGUGAGUAACACGUGGGUAACCUACCUAUAAGACUGGGAUAACUCCGGGAAACCGGGGCUAAUACCGGAUAAUAUUUUGAACCGCAUGGUUCAAUAGUGAAAGACGGUUUCGGCUGUCACUUAUAGAUGGACCCGCGCCGUAGUAGCUAGUUGGUGAGGUAACGGCUCACAAAGGCGACGAGACGUAGCCGAUCUGAGAGGGUGAUCGGCCACACUGGAACUGAGACACGGUCCAGACACCGACGGGGGGCAGCAGUAGGGAAUCUUCCGCAAUGGGCGAAAGCCUGACGGAGCAACGCCGCGUGAGUGAUGAAGGUCUUCUGAUCGUAAAACUCUGUUGUUAGGGAAGAACAAAUUUGUUAGUAACUGAACAAGUCAUGACGGUACCUAACCAGAAAGCCACGGCUAACUACGUGCCAGCAGCCGCAGUAA
rnacentral:rRNA from 1 species